ACGGGGUAGGAUCACGUAGGUGACGUACCCUCAGGGCGAGGAUAGCCACGGGAAACUGUGGGUAAUACUCGAUAAUCUUCCCGAUCAUGAUCGAAUGGGAAGCAAUGGGUGUGAUUCCACCUGAGGAGCGGCUUACGCAGUAUCAGCUUGUUGGUGAGGUAACGGCUCACCAAGGCUUUGACGCUUAGGGGGUGUGAGAGCAUGGCCCCCACCACUGGCACUGAGACACUGGCCAGACACCUACGGGUGGCUGCAGUCGAGAAUCUUCGGCAAUGGACGAAAGUCUGACCGAGCGACGCCGCGUGCGGGAUGAAGGUCUUCGGAUUGUAAACCGCUGUCAGAGGGGAUGAAGUAUACGAGAGCUAUCUCUUGUAUUUGACAGAGCCUCAGAGGAAGCACGGGCUAAGUUCGUGCCAGCAGCCGCGGUAAUACGAACUGUGCGAACGUUAUUCGGAAUCACUGGGCUUAAAGGGUGCGUAGGCGGUUUUCUAAGUCACGUGUGAAAUCUUCUGGCUCAACCAGAAAACUGCGCGUGAUACUGGAGGACUUGAGUGAGGUAGGGGUGUGUGGAACUUCCGGUGGAGCGGUGAAAUGUGUAGA
rnacentral:rRNA from 1 species